UCGCGAGAAGAACGAGCUGAACCUUAUCAUUUAUAGAGAAGGAGAACUCGUAACAAGGUUUCCGUAGGUGAACCUGCGGAAGGAUCAUUGCCGUG
rnacentral:rRNA from 1 species